AUGGCAGGGAAAACUUCUCCGAACUGGAAAUGCAAGUUUGUCUUUGCAAGUAGAAGUAGCUGCCGGUCCCAGCAGUCACCGAGCCUGGGAGUGUCUCAAGCCUGCAUGUGGGACAGAUGCACGUUAGUCUUGUUCCUGAAGACGAUGUCACAGCAGCAGGCCAGCAGCUCCAUGUUGGCCUACAGUGCUGUCUGAGCAAGAGGGGUGAAAGACGGGACAAAGUGCAAAAAAUCUGAGCAUCCCACUCCAAGUGGACCCCAAACCAGUACCUUAAAAAAACACUGACCUGAAACACUGACCUGCAAUGCUCUCGUGUGGUGUCUUGAAAGGGAAGUGUCCCCAGAGUCUCAUCAUGUAUUUGAACCCCCGGUCCCCAGUUGGUAGUUCUGUUUGAGGGGGGUGCAGCCUUGCUGGAGGGUUGGGGUGGGGGUGAGCUUUGAGGUUUUACAGUCUCACCUUCACUUCCUGUUCUGUCUGUUUUCCUGUGUGUGGAUGAAAAUGUGGUCAGCUGGCUUCCUGUUUCUGCCUCUCGUCUGUGCUGUCCUUUCCCUCUGGAACUGUAAACUAAAAUAAGCCUCCCCCGCCCCCUUAAGCUGCUUUUGGUCAUGUGUUUUAUCACAACAGGAAAGUAAGUAAUGCACUGGCCAUUGUUCAUUCAACACUCAAAUCAUUUAACUGAACCUUUGAAAUGG
rnacentral:lncRNA from 1 species